AUUGAACGCUGGCGGCAGGCUUAACACAUGCAAGUCGAACGAGUGGAGGACGGGUGAGAAAUGUCUGGGAAACUGUCCGAAGGAGGGGGAUAACUACUGGAGACGGUAGCUAAUACCGCAUACCAUCGGAUGUGCCCAGAUGGGAGUAGCUUGUAGGUGAGGUAACGGCUCACCUAGGCGACGAGCCCUAGCUGGUCUGAGAGGAUGACCAGCCACACGGUGACUGAGAAACGGUCCAGACUCCUACGGGAGGCAGCAGGGGGGAAUAUUGCACAAGGGGCGAAAGUCUGAUGCAUCUAGGCAGCGUGUAUGAAGAAGGCCUUCGGGUUUUAAAGUACGGUCAGCAGAGAGGCGUUACCCACAGAAGAAGCACCGGCUAACUCCGUGCCAGCCGCCGCGGUAAUUC
rnacentral:rRNA from 1 species